UUCCUUGUGCUUCAUGGGUUUGGAUCCGAAUCAGGACUCUCGCGACUGUAGCUAUAAAACCCUUUGGCGUCGGAGAUAGAGAGAUAGAGGCACCGGGAAUGGAGUUCGAGAAGCGAAAGGCGCAAGCCCUGGCUGGCAUGGCGGCGCCGGGGCCGGACAAGUCCCCCAAGGGCACGGUGGACGCCCCCAUCGUCCCCCUUCUCGACGCCAUCAACCGCCACCCCUCCUUCUUCACCACCAGCUCCUGCUCCGGUCGCAUCUCCAUCCUCGCCCACCGAACCAACCCGCCCCCAUCUUCCGCCGAUCCGACAGCGGGAAACCCAAAAAUCCAGGCUACGGCGCCCAAGAAGAAGAAGAAGGCCGGCGGAGGUCGUUGGCUCUUCGUCUCGCACGACACUGUCGACCCGGAAGCCGUCGCCGACCUCCUCUUCGGGGACUGCCACGAUUCCGAGGGAGGGGAUCUGGUGUUCCGGUUCGAGCCCCUCAUCGUGGCCGUCGAGUGCCGGGAUCUCGCCUCGGCGCAGGCGCUUGUCUCUACUGCUAUUUCUUGCGGGUUUAGAGAGUCCGGUAUGACAAGCAUACAGAAACGUAUUAUGGUUGCUAUACGGUGUUCUAUUCGCUUGGAGGUGCCAUUGGGCCAAACUGGUUUGAUUAUGAUUUCACCAGAGUAUGUUCGAUACCUUGUUAGGAUUGCUAAUGAUAAAAUGGAGGAAAAUAGGAAGAGAACGGAUGGCUUUCUUCAUAUUUUACAAUCUAAGGGUCUCCCAGGAACGGGAAAGGAGAUGAUUGAUUUUACUAAAAAGGGUCAAGAACAGAUUGCUGAUAGAGGAGAUUCAUUAGAUUUUGAAGCUAAGCCUAAUGCUGUAUUGUCAAAGAUAUCAAACGAGAAUCGCACUGCAAAGUCCCAUACAGAAGGUAAUAUCUUGGGCUUCAUCAAAGAUAGAUGUGAUUCUGAAUCUGCUGGAUAUUCUGGAGAAGACAAAUGCACUGUUGCUUCCUGCAAGAGCUCAUUAAAAGGCUCUAAUCCUUUACAUGAUGCGGAAAUUGGAUACAGCCAUAAAGAGAUGGCUGACAUAGAUCCUAACAUAGAGUUGUCAGGAACACCAAAGUGCUUUCUUUCUGUUGUCAUGUUAAGCAUUGUUGGUGAGCCGAUUGAGAAGCUCUUCCUCUGGGGUCAAUCAGCCUGUACUGUAAACAGUGGAGGACAGGAACAUAUCCUUGUCUUUGGUGGCUUUGGAGGCUUAGGACGACAUGAAAGAAGAAAUUACUCCCUAGUGCUUGAUCCCCAGUCAGGCCUCUUAAGUGAAAUAAAUUCUACAAAACCCCCAUCUCCACGCUUGGGUCAUGCAUCUUCCAUGGUGGGGGGAGACAUUUAUGUUAUUGGAGGGAGGGGUGGUCCUUCUCAAAUUCUUAAUGAUGUCUGGGUUCUGGACACCACUGAAAAUAGGUGGUCAUUAUUAGAAUGUACUGGCGGUGCGUUUAAUCCGAGGCACCGCCAUGCAGCUGCAGCUGUAGGCUCAAAUAUAUAUGUCUUUGGAGGUCUUAAUAAUGAAUUGAUAUAUUCAUGCAUGAAUGUCUUAAACACUGAAACUCUGCAGUGGAGCGAUGUUAGUAUCCAAGGAGAUUGGCCCUGUGCACGUCAUUCACAUUCUUUGGUGGCUAGCGGCCCUCAGUUGUUUAUGUUUGGAGGUUAUGAUGGUGAGAAGGCACUAGGUGACCUCUACAGUUUUGAUGUUAGAACGUUACAGUGGAGAAAAGAGGCGACAUCUGGGAGAGCUCCUUCUCCGAGAUUCUCGCAUUCUAUGUUUAUCUAUAAAAAUUAUCUUGGGAUUGUUGGUGGUUGCCCAGUUAGGCAACGGCAUCAAGAAUUGGCUUUAUUGAACAUGCAUCAUCUUAUCUGGGUGCAUGUGGCUGUUGACUCAUUUGCUAGGGACCUUUGGGUUCGCAGCUCAACCUGUCUUAUUGGUGAUGAUCUUGUUAUUGUUGGUGGUGGAGCAUCAUGUUAUGCAUUUGGAACAAAGUUUAAUGAGCCAAUGAAAAUUAAGUUACAUUUAUUAGAGUCUCUACACAACCUCCCUUCGGAUAAGGAAAAUAAUCCGUUUUUAUGGUAUCAUGAGACCAAUGGAAACAUGAAUAUACAACAGAACAAGCAUAUAUCUGGCAUGUUUGAUAGUUCUGAUGUAGAUCGUAGGAUUGACAUUUCUGCCAAGGAAGAUGGACAUGAUGUGGAUGGGAAACACCUCGUUAUAAAAGUUGAGAAAAAAUAUGCUAAACCUGCGAAGGAUAUGUUAAAAAGGUUUGGAUGGUUGGAUCUUACUAGGAAGGUUUGGCCAAGUCAGGAUGCAUGUCAUAUUCAUUUGCCUGUUAGCAGAAAUUUUCAUGUCUUCUAUGUGAAAGAACAAUUUAAUUCAGAAAAUAACUUUGAUAAUUUGGAAGCAUUUCAUCAACUGGGGGAAUUUUCAUUCAAGGGGCUUUCUGUAAAUGAGGUUUCUCAAUCAACAGCAUUGAACUUUUUGUUGUCAUGUGGUGGUUCUUUACAAAUUGAUGAUGUAGUCUGCAUGAGAAAGGUUCACAAAUCUCCUGAAAAGAUGAUAAAACAAUCAGUUUGCUCUUUGCUGAGGACAAAAAGGAUGCCUCUGCAGCUGUUGGAGCAGUUGCCUACAAGGUGGGAAAAUCUUGGGGAUAUUGUUGUGCUACCAAAGACAUCUUUUAAGGAUCCUAUAUGGGACUCUGUAGGGAAGGAGCUUUGGCCUGUAGUUGCCAAAGCGCUUGGUGCUAAGCGACUUGCACGGCAAGGUCGAAUUUUGCCUACUGGAACAAGAGACAGCACCCUCGAAAUUCUUGUGGGAGACAGUGGGUGGGUUACUCAUCAAGAGAAUGGAAUUUUUUAUUCGUUUGAUGCAACGAAGUGUAUGUUUUCAUCUGGAAACCUUUCUGAGAAGCUUCGUAUGGCUAGUCUAGACUGUAGAGAUGAGAUUAUUGUGGAUCUAUUUGCUGGAAUUGGAUACUUUGUGCUUCCAUUUCUUGUCAAGUAUGACCGGAUUUCCUUGACUUUAGGGCUAGGGCAAAACUGGUUUAUGCAUGUGAGUGGAAUCCCCAUGCUUUGAAGGCUCUUGAACAUAAUAUCAGUGCAAAUUCUGUGGCAGAUCGGUGUGUCAUACUUGAAGGAGAUAAUCGUGUCACAGCACCCAAAGGGGUCGCUCAUCGUGUUUGCCUUGGUCUCCUACCUUCAAGUGAGUGUAGUUGGGCUACUGCUGUGAGGGUUUUGAGGUAAUGAAUGCAUCUGGCUGGUAAUGUUUCUUUCACAUGCUUGUUUUCUACUUACAAAAUCAACUAAUUUUUUGUGAGUAUAGUUUGUUCGACAUGGUCACUUUUCUGGCAUUGUUUUGUAUGUUUUGUUUUAAAAUGUUUAUCUUUAGAAUAUUGAUAUGACGAUAUGACAUACAUAUUUGGUUCAUUGAAAUCCAAAAGGGACUUUUAAUUAACUACCAAGUUUUGUCCAGCAUUGUGCGAAUAUGAUAUGAUUGAAUAUUUUUUACUUUUAAUAUUUUUGAGAUGGGUGGUUUGGUGGUGGAGUUCCAUAGGUGUUGUCCUAAGAUGCAAAUUUAGUGGAAUUAGAUAAAAAAUAAGACUCCACUCCAUAUUGAUGCUGACUUGAUCAGUUUUGGUAAUUGUGGAUUUGUUUGACUGCUAGACGGGCUAAAUAUGAACAUGGCUGGUGCUUUGUGGUGUUGUAUAAUUAUUACAUGCCUUGACUUUUAAGGAUAGAAGACAGCAAUAGAACCUACAAUGUGUAAGAUUAGAUUUCUGAGGUCCAAGUUUGUAGGGUUGAACUUGUGGAGAACCCAUUGAAACAGUAUGGACACAAGCACUUGACAGACCAAUUUAAAGUUAAUUUGAGGCAUAUCAUGGGCACUAACAUGCUUUCGAAUGGGUUGGAAUGGAAGGUGAUGCUCACAAUGCCUGCUAUUGAGGUUCUGACUGAGUGCAUCGGCUAAAUUAAAUCUUUAUGUUGUAUUGGAAUAAUAUGUUAUCUGAAAUGCUGGAACAUGCGUUAGAGAGGCAGAGGAAAAUUAUAUGUAUUGAAAGCUUGAAGUGACUCAAUACAUAAUGAGUUACAUGCAAAUGCAUUGUUUAAAAUUCCUAUAAUCUAUCUAUUCAUUACAUUUAGGGUAAAUUACAAAACCCCCUUGAGGUUAGGUCGAAAUUACAGUUAAGCUCAGUAAUUUCAAAAACUUACACUUACACCCCUGAAGUUUACUUCAACCCUAUAGUUUAGUCCUAACCGUUAAGCAAUCCGUUAAUGGAAAAUGAGACCGAAGUGCCACAUAAUUAAAAUUUUCGAAAAUGACAGAAAUGCCCUUCACCAAAGGUCUAGUGGGAUAAAAACCCUUCUUCCUUUCCUUCUUUCCGCACCCCUCUCCGCCACCCUCGACGGCCUCACCGCCCUCGAGCUCAUCGGCACCGACCACGGGCCGCCUCUUGGAGGUCUUCACCGUCCUCGCCGACCUCCACUGCACCAUCGUCGAGGCCAAGGUUUGGACCCACAAUGGCCGGAUCGCCGUCCUUAUCUUUGUUCGGGAUGAGGAUUUUGACUCCCCGAUCGACGAUCUUUAGUGGAUCCACUGCAUCGAGGCCCGCCUCAGCCACAUCCUCAAGGGCGACCAUGACAUCUGCGGCGCCAAGACGGCCAUUGUGCUUCUGCUGUCGCUCACUCCAAUCGCCACCUCCACCAGCUCAUGUUUGCCAACUGCGACUACGAGCGCAUCUUCUUUGCCGAGACCACCUUCUCGUCCUCCUCAUCGUCGUCGUAGCCGUCCAUUUCGGUCCAGCACGGGACCGAGUGUGGGUACCCGAUCGUCAACAUCUAGUGCAGAGAUCGCCCCAAGCUGCUCUUCGACGUCAUGUGUACCCUCACCGACAUGGAGUACGUCGUGUUCCAUGGCACCAUCGAUACUGAUGGCGAUCGAGCCCACUUGGAAUUUUGCAACAGGCAUCUAGAUGGAAGCCCAAUCAGUUCGGAAGAAGAGCGGCAGCAUGUGAUCCAAUGCUUGCAAGCCGCCAUCGAGUGCAAAGCAUUCGAGGGAUUGUGAUUGGAGCUGUGCACGAUGGACCGGCGAGGCCUUCUCGCCGACGUGACCCGGGUGUUCUGGGAGAACGGUGUGAAAGUAGAGGGUAAAUUGGGUGUGUGAAAUGCUGGGUGGAAGGUGGUAUGCUGCAUGUGCAUGGAAACGUCAAUGACUCGGAGGAAUUCUCAUGGUCAGAAUAUGUUGUUAAGUCCAUAAGGAGCAUUGUACAAUCUGAAGGGUUACAUUGGGAUGUUUCGAUAAAACACAUAGAGCGAGUGAAGUGGUAUGGGCCUCAUAUUCGUCAUCUUGUUGCUGAUGUAAGAUGCAAGCAAGUAUAGAUGCAUCACUUGCAUGGGUAAUGCAUAUCAAGGAAAAAUCAUCCCUUGUAUAUCCUAAAAUUUUGUAUUCAGUUUCAUGGGAUCAGACUGUAAUAAUCUUUGUUUUUAUCUAUCCCACUUGUGAUUCAGAAAUAUGAAAUCUGGAAUACAUUACAACUGGGAAUAUGCUGCUGGAAUCUCUCCGAUACUAUUUGCUCCAAAUAAGAUUUGACUAGUGGAAUUAGAAUGUACAUGGUAGCAAUUAGUUAUGGUGGUGGUGCAGUUUCAGAGUAGUGGAAAUCAAUUUUUUUUCCAGUGUU